CAGGCGGGCCGGGUGACCGCGCGGCGCUCCGUUGGGAGCGUCUCGAGGAAAGUCCGGGCUCCGUAGAGCUGGAUGGUGGGUAACGCCCACUCGGGGAAACCCGCAGGACAGUGCCACAGAAAAUAGACCGCCCGCCUCGAGCGGGUCAGGGUGAAAAGGUGGUGUAAGAGACCACCAGCGUGCCGGGUGACCGGUGCGGCUUGGUAAACCCCAUCCGGAGCAAGGCCAUGCAGGGUGCGUUGGAGGGCUGCUCGUCCGAGUGCCCGGGUAGGCUGCUUGAGCCGUGCGGCAACGUACGGCCUAGAUGGAUGGUCACCACCGCGGUUCGGGUAACCGGCCGCGACACAGAACCCGGCUCAUAGGCCCGCCUGUCCC
rnacentral:RNase_P_RNA from 1 species